rnacentral:lncRNA from 1 species
CACUCGACAUCACGACUUGGCCGGGGGCCUAGCGUGAACUAACGCUCGCACGCGAGCCGGGAGCCUCCAUGGAAAGCGUGGCAGAAGAUGCUGCGAGGAGGAGGCGGCAGCGCUGGAGGCGGCGGGCCGCUCUGCCGCUGAGGCGAGGAGUUUGGCUCAGCUCCCCUCAGCCGCAAAUUCCAUCUCGUCCCACUUUUUCACAUGGCGAUCCCACGUUUCCUCGUCUCGAGCUCCGUCUCGCGCUCUCCUCCGCUCCGGAGCGGCUCCACGAGAAGUUCAGGGUCACAGAAAAGAGCAGCGUGAGCGAGGCAGAGGAUUGAGCAAGAUUUUGUGCAAGCGCCGAGGGGGGGGCGGAUGGAAAAAACMGGCUGCGGGAGGAAGAGGAGGACAUACAUGGUGCUUCCUCGGGGCAGCAGCCGCCGAGCUGCCCCCCAGGAGGUCACCCGCCGCCGACAGCCCCAGCGCCCGCUCCCCGGGGGACGCGCUCCCCACGCAGCCGCCCCCCGCCCUCGGCCCGCCGCGGGGUCGCGGCCCUGUCGCCCACCGCGGCGCUGAGUCAGACCUCCCGCCGCCGGGCCCCUCCCGCCGCGCUUUACCUGUGGCGGCGGCAGCGAGGGAGCGCGCGGCGCGGCGGCCACCGCUGCUGCCCGCCCGCCCCAACGGCUGCUGCGCCAGUCCCGCCGCUCCGCAGCCGCGGCGGCAGCGCCGCCACAACCGUCUCCCCCGUGUCCCCCCCUUCCGCGGCGAAGCUGCCCGGUCUCUAUAGCUACUUCCCGCGAGACUUCUUCCUCCCCCCUCCUCCUCCUCCUCGUCCCACCGCCACCUCACGGGCCCUCCCCAAACCAGGUGACACGACUCCAUGGCGUCAGCGCGCCGCCCGUUAAUUAGUGCCGCUUCAAAAGCGUCCGCUGCUUUUAUUUAUUAUUUAUUUCACACGUUUCUAAAAACCGCCUGUUCACGCGGCGGCUCUGGUCCCCAUCACCUCUCCGCCCGUUGCCCGGCAACCGAGCGCCGCCCCCUGACCUAUUUCUAUUAAAUUAAAA